GUUCAAAAAAUAAUAUUCAGAUUUUGUCGGAAGCGCGUUUUUAACUUCGUGCCUGCACUGAGAUAGCGAGAGAGAGAGUAGCCAUAGAGAACCACUCCAAAUUCCACCCCCGCAUUCGUCAUUUUUUAUGCAAUCCAAAGUUUUUGUCCUUUUACGCGCCUCAUUCUCACACAUUCUUUAUUUUUCAACGUAAUCACCGCCAUUUUCAGCGGGAAUUUUGCAACCCAAAAUUUAGAAAAAAUAAUUAUUUCUUCCUUUCUAAACAACGAUGGCUUAGUGACUGCGGAUAUAGAUGUGGGACACGAGUCAACUUGAGCCAGGUACGAACAUUUUCUGGUUUUGUGAAUGCUAGAGAUUGAAGUUAUGCUAUGCUCUGUUUUUCUUGUUUUCUUGAUUUUAGGGUUUUAUUGUGAUUGAAAAUCAGGUGAAAAUGUACUGAAUUUGAUGUUUGACGAAUUCAAUUGAACAUCUGUAAAGCUAGUGUUUAGGGUUUUGGAGAAUCUAGAUUUUUGAUAGCGGAAUAAAUGGUGGUAUUGCUAUUUUGAGGCCCUUUCUCAGUUCGCUUUCCGGUUGUAAAGUUAAUUAGAGGAACCUUUUGGUUUUGGAACUUAAUUUUGUGGCUCAUUGAGUGAAUCAUCAUAAAGAUUUUAUACAGUGUGAAUUUUACGGAUCUGUUCCUGGAAUUUACUCGGUUUUCAUGGCUCAGCCUAAUUCGAAGCAACCAAUGAGUCAGAAUAUUAACCUCGNNNNN
rnacentral:lncRNA from 1 species